AGAGGCGGGUUGGGCGGGGGGCGCUGCCGCCCAAGGCCCGAGGCAGCGGCGCGGGAUCGGCCAAAGCACCGGCCGCCAGUUCGGCGGGUCUGGAGAGAGGGGACCUCAAGCAGCCAGUGGAGCAACCAGCCUGGGAGCCUUCGACGUAGGCGCUGUGGGCGAAGGAAAAGGCCUGGCCUGCUGCCUCUUCUCUUGCAGCAAAAUCCGCUGCUGUGAAGGAGCUGAAAAGAAGCAGACCUACAUCGUUUGCAGAUGAGCUGGCUGCCCGCAUCAAGGGGGAUGCCGUGGGCCGAGUGGACGAGGAGCCGACAAAUGAAGAGGAUAACUUAUUCGCACCCCCCAAGCUGACCGACGAGGACUUCUCGCCAUUUGGCUCUGGAGGUGGCCUGUUCAGUGGGGGCAAGGGGCUCUUUGAUGAUGAGGACGAGGAGAGUGACCUCUUCACGGAAGCCCCCCAGGAUCGGCAAGCUGGAGCCUCUGUUAAGGAGGAGUCUUCAUCAUCCAAACCUGGAAAGAAAAUCCUAGCAGGAGCUGUUUCUGUAUUUUUA
rnacentral:lncRNA from 1 species